GACGAAGGAUGCAAGCGUUAUCCGGAUUCAUUGGGUUUAAAGGGAGCGUAGGUGGCCUUAUAAGUCAGUGGUGAAACCUCUCAGCUUAACUGAGAAAUUGCCAUUGAUACUGUAGGGCUUGAGUACAGAUGCCGUUGGCGGAAUAUGACAUGUAGUGGUGAAAUACAUAGAGAUGUCAUAGAACACCGAUUGCGAAGGCAGCUGACGAAACUGUAACUGACACUGAGGCUCGAAAGUGCGGGGAUCAAACAGG
rnacentral:rRNA from 1 species